AACGCUGGCGGCGUGCCUAAUACAUGCAAGUCGAGCGAACGGACGAGAAGCUUGCUUCUCUGAUGUUAGCGGCGGACGGGUGAGUAACACGUGGAUAACCUACCUAUAAGACUGGGAUAACUUCGGGAAACCGGAGCUAAUACCGGAUAAUAUUUUGAACCGCAUGGUUCAAAAGUGAAAGACGGUCUUGCUGUCACUUAUAGAUGGAUCCGCGCUGCAUUAGCUAGUUGGUAAGGUAACGGCUUACCAAGGCAACGAUGCAUAGCCGACCUGAGAGGGUGAUCGGCCACACUGGAACUGAGACACGGUCCAGACUCCUACGGGAGGCAGCAGUAGGGAAUCUUCCGCAAUGGGCGAAAGCCUGACGGAGCAACGCCGCGUAAGUGAUGAAGGUCUUCGGAUCGUAAAACUCUGUUAUUAGGGAAGAACAUAUGUGUAAGUAACUGUGCACAUCUUGACGGUACCUAAUCAGAAAGCCACGGCUAACUACGUGCCAGCAGCCGCGGUAAUACGUAGGUGGCAAGCGUUAUCCGGAAUUAUUGGGCGUAAAGCGCGCGUAGGCGGUUUUUUAAGUCUGAUGUGAAAGCCCACGGCUCAACCGUGGAGGGCCAUUGGAAACUGGAAAACUUGAGUGCAGAAGAGGAAAGUGGAAUUCCAUGUGUAGCGGUGAAAUGCGCAGAGAUAUGGAGGAACACCAGUGGCGAAGGCGACUUUCUGGUCUGUAACUGACGCUGAUGUGCGAAAGCGUGGGGAUCAAACAGGAUUAGAUACCCCGGUAGUCCACGCCCUAAACGAUGAGUGCUAAGUGUUAGGGGGUUUCCGCCCCUUAGUGCUGCAGCUAACGCAUUA
rnacentral:rRNA from 1 species